GUUAUACUCCCUCCGUCCCAAAAUUAUUGUCUUAGAUUUGUUUAUAUAUAAAUGUAUCUAGUCAUGUUUUAGUAUUUACAUACAUCUAUUUCUAGACAAAUCUAUGACAAGAAUUUUGGGACGAAGGGAGUAUAAC
rfam:Hordeum vulgare subsp. vulgare, WGS project CAJW01000000 data, contig: morex_contig_42559